GAAGCCUCGUCUGGACCCUCAGCCCUGUUGUUCACAGCCUCUAUUUGGGCCUGUGCUUCCAUACCAACCUGGGCUACCUCUGUAAUAGUACCUGAGGUUUUAUGUUGUCUUCUUCUGUUCUUGGUCUCUCUCCCUAAGAACACUAAAGUAUUUGAGGGCAGGGGCUGAGUCUUAUCUCUGUAUCUCUAGAUCAGCACAGUGCCUUGAACAUAGCAAGUGCUCAAUAAAUGUUUGCUGAAUGAUUUAAAAAUGAGCACAGUAACUUUGUAGUAAAGUUUCAUGUUGUAUUUUGUUCAAGACUCAUGUACCACAACCCAUAGUAAUGUGAUAAUUACCAUAUAACUUCCGGUAUGCCAGCCCCUCACCCAUCAUUCCAUAAUCAUAGACCUAUUCUUAGGCUAAUUCUAUUCUACACAGCAGGAAGCGGGUUAAGAACAUUGUGACUUGUUCUUAUUGAUAUAGGCCCCACAAAAACUGGAUGGUUUAGGUCCCAAAGUCAACUUGUGAGAACUAUCUGAUUAAUCUGUUGAUAUAACCUGAUUUAACUGAUAAUUUGACACCUCUUCUUUGGAUUUGAUUAUGUAAGUAUUGCCUAAUUUAUAGACUUAAAAAAAGUUUUGCCUAUUCAUUGAACUUGGAAUAAAAGGAAAAUAGGGAUAUUGAGACUUGUGGGCUCUAAAAAUGUUUUCUUCCCAGUUUAAAUUACUUUAGUAAUUAUAUCUACUGUUCAGAUAGCCUAGGAACUAUGACUUGCGCUCUUACAUGAUAAAGGCUGGGAUCUGUACCCACUGCUUUUAGCUGAGUUAUAUACGGUAUGAACUAUUCCCUACUCCUUUCACUAUAGAGGAUAACAGAACCUGUAACCUAGUUUGUUCUUUUUUUUAAAUGAAGUAUAAUUGAGAUACAACAUUAUAUUCAUUUCAGGUAUACAACAUAAUGAUUUAGUAUUUGUACAUAUUGUGGGAUAACCACAAUAAGUCUAGUUUACAUCCACCAUCAUACAUAAUUACAGAAUUUUUUUUCUUGUGAUGAGAACUUUUAAAAUCUACUUCCUUAGCAACUUUAAAAUAUGGAAUAAUAUAUACAGUAUUAUUAACUAGUCACCAUGCUGUUGUUAUAUCCUCAGACUUAUUUAUUUUUUAACUGGAAGUUUGUACCUUUUGUUUACUGUUUGAAAUACUAAGAAAUUAAGCCUAUAUAGCAGCAGACUCAACCAAGUGAAGAUCACUGUCUUUCUUAGCAUUCCUCCUCCAUUAUAUCAUCUUGAUACAAUAUUCAUCUUCUAAUAUGAAUGAAUAAAAUAAAUAAAAGUACUCUCAAAGCUGAACACAAGAUACAAAUCAAGCAGGUUACCUAGAGUCACAGCUCCUACAACAAAUCCUUGGGCAGCAACUCUCAUGUGGAUAAGAUGAAUUGACAUUUUCUUAUCUUUUUUGUACUUUAACUUGUAAAGCCCAUAGGAUACCACAGUCAUAAAGCCUGCUAUCCCUGUGAAUUAAAAGAGUAGGGGUUAUACAAGUAAUAGGCGAGAAUUCCAAGAGCUGAGAGAACUGAAUAAAAGACUUUUCAAAGGAUCAGUACUUAGAAGAUAAGUAGGAAAGAUACUGAAGAAUACUUUAUAAAGAGAACCGUGCUGGCUUUGAUCCACCAAAUUUAAAAAUGGACCCUUCACAUUCAUGGAUUCAAUAUUUUCAGUUUUGGCUCUUCCCAGGAAAACCUGAACCCUAUAGUAUAGUAACUUGUCUAGCAAAUGCUGAUUUAUUUGAGGUGUGAUUUUGAAUUGGGCAUGCUGCCAGGCUUUUAUCUAGAGUAAGUCAUUAACCAGUGAGCAAACCAACCAAACAACCCAGCAGCCAUAGCUUUUGAGUGUUUGUUUGGCUUUACUCCUCUCUACUUGUUGUGAAAUAAGAAACAAAUCUGGUAAAGUGAUAAAACUUCAAUCAUCUGUAAAAAUGAGACAUUAAACUUUAAUGAGAGAUGAAAAGGUAGGAAUGAAUAUUUUGCACAAGAAGUAUGUGACUCUGGGGAGAACUGUGAUUCUAGAAAACUCCAGAAGGCCACAUACAUAUUUCUGUAUUCCCUGCAAAUGUCAAGGGGUGAAUGUACUGCUGUGAUGAUCAAGAUCCUAUGUAAUUGUCUCUAAAACAAAACGGAUCAAAUUUAAUAAGAAAGAUUCUGGGAAGAGAUUUAAAACACAGAGAACUUAAUCCAUUAUAAAUCAAAAUAACCAAAAUAACAGAUAAAGGAGUAAUUAUUUAAUAAAUACUAUUAGUAUAAUUUACUGGUGUAGAGAACUAACUUGGAUUUGUAUCUCACACCAGACCCGAUAAAAAAAAAUUAUAGACAAGUGAGAAUAAAUGUAAAACAGAGCAAAAAUAACAAAAAUGAGAAUGUAGAAUAGCAUAUUUGUAACAUCUAACAGAGGGUAAGGUAGUCUUUAAGAGAACAUGACAAGGACAGAAUGCUAUGUUUGACAUAAGAAUAUAGAAAACUUUUGCAUAAUAAAAGUGUGGGUCUGUUUUUGGGUUCUCUCUUCUAGCCUAUUGAUCUGUGCUUCUAACCCUCCAUCAAUACUGCAGUGUCUUGAUUACUGUAGCAAUGUAUACAUAAUAAGAUUUACUAUCAGGUGGGUGAUUUUUCCCACUUUAUCUUUUAAAAAAAGAAGAUUGUUUAGUCAUGCUAAGACUUGUGCUUUCCAUAUACAUUUUAGAAUAAGCUUGUCUAUGUCUACAAAACACCUUGCUGGGAUUUUGGGAGGAAUUACACUAAACCUAUAGACCAAUUUGGGGAGAACUGACAUCUUUACUAUAUAUUGAGUCUUGUAAUCCAUUAACACAGUGGUGUCUACAUUUAUUUAGGUCUUUGAGUUCUUCAAUUAGCACUUUGUAAUUUUUGGCAUACAGAUUCUGUACACGUUAAGCAUAUACCUAAGCAUUUCAUUUUCUUUGGAGUGAUUGUAAAUGGUACCAUGUUUUUAAUUUCAGUGUCUAUAUGUUUGCUAGCAUAUAGAAGUACAAUUGAUAUUUAUAUAGGAUAGUAAGUUUUGAUUAACUGUUGGCACAUGUGUGUCUCUGGGUGGGUGAUGAUAUAUUCUCACAGGAUCCAUUUAAUAAAUGGAAAUAAGAAUCAGUAAAUAAUCACAUUUAUAUGUAUGUCUUAUGGGCUGAUUAGCAAUAAAUGAAAUUGAAAUAAAACAGCAAACAUAAAAACAGCAAAAAACAAGUAACAAUAAAGUGAUGAUAGGCACGUUGAGAACUAGGUAUAAUGCUGAAAGCUCUUAAAGUUUAGCCAAAUUGUUCUGGAAAGAGCUCUGGUCAUAUAUUAGUGGUAUAAAACUGAACAUGCUUCCUGCCCUGGAAAUUUAUACUCUAGAAACAAGCAAAACAAAAGUCGAGUUCACACAAAAGUGUUUAUGGCUACACUAUGUAUGUGGAAAAACUAAACAAUCUAAAUAGUCCAGAGGAAAAAUUGCCAUAGUUACUUAAAAACAAAAUUUGGGGAUCAAAAGUUAUAUGUGGAUUUUCAACUGCAUGGGGGAUUGACUCCCUAGAUCCUGUGUAGUUCAGGGAUCAUUUGUAUGUAUAAAAUACAGCACAGACCUUAACAGUGAUCAUAAGGUAAUUUUAAACAAGAUAAAUAGGUUAUAAUGAUGUAAGUCAUUUAAAAUGACAAAAAUAUUUUGUAAUUUAUGUGCAUAGGAUAUUGCAUCCUGCAGCAGGAAAUAUAGUAUUGUUAAAAUAACAAUAGCUAUACAAAGUAUUCAAUAACAUAUACACAAAUUUUAUUGUUAUUUUUCUAACAGAAACUUGGCUCUCUUCCCUUAUCAAAUCAAUGCUCUGUUAUGACUUAAAUUGGUUUUGUUUCUUUUUGAGAUUAAAGUCUGAACCUUUCUGUUUUCCAUAUAGUGUCUUUGUAGUUUGUAUAUAAUUGAAUUUAUUCAAUUAGCUGGAAACACUUUUAUCUUUCUCCUUUAAUCAACCUAAAUGUCUCUGGCAAAAUAAUUUAACUUACAACAGGCACAGGAUUAAUCUCUGAGAGUGAUCUGUUCAGGUGGCAUUGAAUUCUUGAAUUGUUUUUCUAGUUAAAAAUAUUAAGACGAAUAAAUCAUUAUAAAAUUAUUUGCUUUAAUUUUCUGUGGGUGCCUUUAUAAGUUUUAAUCACAUUAGGUAAAACUUCUAACCAUAGGAGUAACUAGUUAGUUAUUAGUAACUAUUAAGUAAAUUUUGAUUCUUUUUGAUAUAUCGAUAAUGAUGCUUACGAAGUUGCAGUGACACUUAAUGGAAACAUAUGACUUAUACCUGUUUAGAAGGUUUUAUGGAAUUAAUUGCAAACAUAUGUAAGUCUCAUUUAAAUAAAUUAUUUUAAUAGUUUCCAGACAAAAUAAACACAAGAAAGAGGCCUGGCUGCAGUACACAGUAAUAAUGAUUAAUAAUGAUUAGGGCAGCUUGACCAUCCAAAAGAGAACAAGAAAGCUUAGAUCUUGAAAUAUAAUAUUGGAUUUUGUUGUUUUUUUCUUUCCUUUUUGGAUUUUGUGGGUUUUUUUUUAAUCCACACAUACAUAUGGUAUUUAUUUGAAUGUAAACUUAGUAAAUACAUGUUAGGUAAGAAUGAGGCUAAGACUCUAAGUCUAAUUAUAAUACCACUUUCUUAAUCUAGUUUACUUAACCAUCAACCUUGACAUCUGGAACACAUGAGGAAGCCUGCAAACAGGGCCACUGGGUAUGAGCACCACAAAGCUCAUGCUCUCAAUGGCAGGUAGGUAGGCCUAGGCCUUCACUCAGAGCUUCUUUACCCUGAGUUGAUUCACAGUGCUUUUAAGCUUGUGUGUCUAGCUUUUGUUACCACAGGACUCUAGAAGCAGAAGUUUUUGAUGGUACCCAACAGUAAUGGAAGAAACAGAAAAAUCUAACAUCAGACACAAGAAGUUAAAGGUUGGAGUUGCUUAAAGGACAAAGAGACAUACACAUCUCAAUAGUCCCCAAUAGACUUUCAGUAUAAUAAACUGAUGGUGCUGAGUCAUCACAGGGAAGUUGAAGUCCAGACCACUGCAUUUAGAUUGGCUGGGAACUAAUAAUUUUUGAUAGGCCUUUAAUGAAAAUGGAUUAAGUAGAAUAAAAUUUGAUGCUUCAUAAUAAUAAUAGCUACCAUUUAUUGGCAAUUUACCACAUACUAGAAACUAUUCUGAAAGUUUAACUAAUGCUUAGAGGGGGUUAACUUCAAUUAUCUGAAAAUAUGCAAUUAUAUAAAACAUUUCAGUCCAUUCACACUGGAUAUGGGCAUUGUGUUACUACAGUUUUGCAGUAUCCAGUCAAGGCUUGUACUUACCCACAGGGACAAAGGGGGAGUUCCUAGAUUUCCUGAUGAGUCAGGAUAAUUGGCCUUCAUCCUCAUUUGCUGACCACUGGUUAUCUGAAGACAUUUUUCUCUCUACUCUGAGUAGGAGAUAAAUGUGGUUGCUGUAAAUCAUUAAAAAUAAUCUGUUUACCAUCUCCCAGUAUACUCCUGAUUAUGUCUUCUGUCUUCAUUUGCUUGACAUGCCUGCCUGCUCAGCUGAAAUUAACAGUCAUCUUUCCUUCACCCUUUUCAUUAUGGAAGCCUUUCAUUUUGUUUGGAGGGAUGUAAAAGAAAAAUAUAUAAAGAGAGGUAAUGAUAUCCAUGAAUACAGAGUAAAAACACAGAUCAUAAUUAUAUUAUUCAGUUUCCUUUCACUGCUCAGCAUUUGAGAUCUUUGUGAACCUCAGAACUCCAUCCACAAGCAGUUAAGAACACAUUUUCUUCUACACAAUUUAAUUUUAAAGAAUGAUGGAAGUGCCAACACAGACAAAAAUACUUUCAGAUUUACAGGUAAUGGGAGAACAAUCACUUCAAUUCUGCAGAAUGUGCAGGGUAUUAUAAAGGCAUUGAGAUUUACCAAGCACCUGCCAUGGACCAGGUGCUGUAUUAGAGAAUGGGAAUAAUCCUCCUUGUUUACACAGGAUGAAUGAAGAAACUGGCAAGAGCAACUGUAAUCACAAUCGAUGCAUUUUAGCAGCACCUCAGUCUGUUAUCUGUGCAACCCACUAUUUGCACCUCAAAAUUCAAAUAUGAUGGUUUCAUCCUAUGAAUCAACUUUGAUCAGAAAACAUAACCCGGCCCUCACCCAACUCCGUCUAAACCGGCAGUUGCUGGCUCAGAGUCAUGGAAUAUAAGGAUCUCUGCAGGAUAAGGGUGUCAUCACUGCCAGACACGUUUUAAAGAUUGAGAAGGCUGAGCCUGAGUGCAUGUGACAGAUGUUUACUUUUGGAAUGCUUCUGAAGGCUGCCCACAUUCCUUGGCUUAUGGCCCCACAGCACUCCAACCUCUGCUCAGGUUGUCAUCUCUCCUCUUGUCUCCCUCUUAUACAUACCCUUGUGAUUGCAUCAGACCCAUCUGGAUAGCCCGUGAUAAUCUCUUCAUCUCCAGAUCUUUA